rnacentral:tRNA from 1 species
GCACUGGUGGGUCUGUGGUACAAUUCUCACCUUCCAUGUGGGAGACCCUGGUUCAAUUCCCGGCCAGUGCA